UGAAGUGAUGAUGGCAAAGAGGUCACACCUGUUCCCAUACCGAACACAGAAGUUAAGCUCUUUAGCGCCGAUGGUAGUUGGGGGUUUCCCCCUGUGAGAGUAGGACGUCGCUAGGC
rnacentral:rRNA from 1 species